AUUUCUGUCCAUUUGGUGGGUAUUUCUCCUCUCUCCUUUGCUCAUGACCUAAGUUAAGGAAAUAUAUAGUGAAUUAAAUGAGAUUUAGGGAAGCACUAAAUCAGCAGCAACUAAGUGAUAACGAAAACCUUAAAAUUGCACAUGGAAUUGGGGUGGGGGAGCGAGGUGUUACAUUUCCAUCUUUUUAUCACUUCAAGAAUAAGAAUUUAGUGUUAUAAGCAAAAAUAUAAAAACUAAUUUUUUAAACACAAAGCUCUUGAAUCAUGGUGAUUCAAAAACAGAUGUCUCGUAACUUUUAUUUUGAUUUUUUUUAGUCCACUGGGAAAUGCUGUGUGCAUGUUUAUGAGAAUCCUAUGAAUUAAAAAAAAGGGGGGGUUUCCCAUCUGAAAAAGACACACAGAGUCCCUCCUGUGUGCUACAGCCUCUGCACGUGUACCGUGAAGUCACAGUUCUUUGUGGAAACGGAAGUGGAAUUUCCUACUUGCUGCCCACGCACACAUGGCGGGCGCUGGGCCAAGGACUUCUUAUAUGCAGCAGUGAGUCACACCACAGCAGCCCUGGAGGCCUGCGGUAUAAUCUGCAUUUGCAGACAGGACUCAGAGGAGUUACUUUCCCAAGGACAUAACCAGACGCCAGUGUCAGCAACGGCUGUGUUGAAUCACCAGUGACUUGGCAAAUGGCUGUGAUCAAAGCUAAAAACUAACACUUUAGCAUGUACUCUAACGUCUGACACCACCUUUUUUGUUCUUCAUAUAAUUAUAAUUUACAGUUGAUUGAGCCAAAGAUCAAGGGAUUAUGCUUGAUUACUCUUUUCCCUCUUUCCUUGAAAUCCAACACAUCCAAAAUCUCAUCUGUCUCUUUAUUUCUCCCCAUUACUAAGGCCACCUCUGUGUCCCUGCCACCAUCACUUCCCCUUUAAGUGAACUGGGGUGUUGGCCGUAGUGAUGCCAGAACAAUAGGUUCCAAUGGGGACUGUGCCCCAAACCUAAAUGUACAAUGACCUUCCUAACACCCACCUUCUCCAUGGGGGAGUCCAACUUCAGGCCCAACCCCAGGCAGUUACAGGUGGGAAGCUGCCCUCCUCUCACCAGUCUGGGGUGCAGUCAGUGCACUGCAGUCGUCUGGAGGGAGCUGCACCCCCAGGCCAGCCAUAUUCCCAGCACAUCCUCCAUUCACAGGCCUCUUUCUUAGGGACUCUUGGCUGAGGUACUUUUUCCCUCUCCACCCUCAGACUUCUCCUGUGUCCCUCCCAUGGCCUGUGGGUCGUGAGGAGGCUGAGCCCACUUGGCAGUGAGCGAACUCCUCUGUGUGCUCCGUGUCCACUGGCCCCUGCGCAGCACCUUUCCCUGCGGAGAACACGGCAGCGGGGAGCCGAUGCCUCUUCCUGCCUGUUGCUCGCACUGUUGCAUCAGCGAUAAAGCUUUGAUGGCUAUUUUCACAGUGGCUCAUUGCCCUAAUUGACCAUGUGAACAUUUAAUCUACGCAGCAACCAAAGAGUCAUCUUCUGCCUUAAGAAUAAAAUCAAUGCUCUACCAUG